CAAGCGGUGGAGCAUGUGGUUUAAUUCGACGCAACGCGAAAAACCUUACCUGGGCUCGAACGGCUUACGACGGCUUUUGAAAACAGAGGCUUUCCCGCAAGGGACGUGAGUCGAGGUGCUGCAUGGCUGUCGUCAGCUCGUGUCGUGAGAUGUUGGGUUAAGUCCCGCAACGAGCGCAACCCUUGUCAAUAGUUGCCAGCAGGUAAAGCUGGGCACUCUAUUGAAACUGCCGUUGAUAAAGCGGAGGAAGGUGGGGAUGACGUCAAGUCCUCAUGGCCUUUAUGUCCAGGGCUACACACGUGCUACAAUGGCAGGUACAAAACGCUGCAAACUCGCGAGAGGGAGCCAAUCGUCAAAAGCCUGUCUCAGUUCGGAUUGGAGUCUGCAACUCGACUCCAUGAAGCUGGAAUCGCUAGUAAUCGCAAAUCAGCAUGCUGCGGUGGAUACGUUCCCGGGUCUUGUACACACC
rnacentral:rRNA from 1 species